rnacentral:rRNA from 1 species
UACGUAGGCAGCGAGCGUUGUUCGGAAUUACCGGGCGUAAAGAGUGUGUAGGCGGUGCUCCCAGUCUGUUGUGAAAUCUCCCGGCUUAACUGGGAGGGUGCAGCGGAAACUAGAGUGCUAGAGGGUGGGAGAGGUAAGCGGAAUUCCUGGUGUAGCGGUGAAAUGCGUAGAUAUCAGGAGGAACACCUGUGGUGUAGACAGCUUACUGGACCACUUCUGACGCUGAGACACGAAAGCGUGGGUAGCAAACAGG